AAAUCAUUGAAGUUGCAUCAGUAAUUGGUAGAUUCUUGGGUGACAUAGGCUCCCAUAAGUUUGAGCAACAAAGAGUACACACUCCCUCAGCUGUCGAAUGUUGCAUGAAUCAAUAUGGUUUUUCUCAAACAGAGGCCUAUGACCACAUUCUCAAUGACGUUGAAAAUUGCUGGAAGAUUAUAAAUGAAGCAUGUCUCAAGUCAAAUGAUAUUCCAAAGGUUGCACUUGAUUGUGUGGUUAAUUUAGCACGUUCAUUUCACUUUUUAUAUGGAGACCUCCAGGAUAAAUUCACAAAUUCAGAACUAAUGAAAGAUCAAACCUCUACACUGCUUGUGGAUCCUGUGUGCAUCAAUCAGCACCAGUACGAGAAGCUAUAUCACAUAUAAAUGAGAAUAACACAUCAUAUAUCCUUCCUACUUAAAGAAGAGUACUAUCAUAAUGCUACGUACUAGCGAGUAUAAAUAAAUAUGAAAUAAGAAUGAAGUGUGCGAAUGAAAGUCAAUUCAUCCUACUUGAAAUGCUCUAUGUGUUAGUUUGUGACAAAUGUUGUUUGUAGUAUUUUCCAUUUGUUGCCGAUUAUCUAGUUACCAAUAUAAUAAUGUUUAAUUAUUUUAAUUCAUAUAUA